rnacentral:rRNA from 1 species
UCGUCUUUUGGACUCUUCUAUAAAAGAUAAUGCCUGCCCAGUGAAAAUUUUAAACGGCCGCGUUAGCGUGAGCGUGCUAAGGUAGCGUAAUAAUUAGCCUUUUAAUUAGAGGCCAGUGAAUGGCAAGACUAGGAAUACCUGUACUUUAUGUAUAAAAAAAACUUUUCAUCUAAGUGAAAAGACUUAGAUAACGAAGGAAGACGAAAAGACCCCGCGGAACUUUACCUUUUCUUCUAUACCUCUGCACACAAGCUUAAAAGUAUAUAAGGUUUGAUUGGGGCAAUCUUGGAACCAAUAAAGCUUCCAACUUCUAUAAAAAAUCAUAUAAAAUUUAUUAAGGACCAUAAAGUAGUUACCCCGGGGAUAACAGCGUAAUCCAGCUUAAGAGUACAUAUCGAAAGUUGGGUUUGCGACCUCGAUGUUGGCUUAAGGAUAUCCACAUAAGUGCAACCGCUAUGACAGGAUAGUCUGUUCGACUAUUAUACCCUU